GUGUUUGCUUCAGCAACACAUAUCCUAAAAUUGGAAGAUUACAGAGAAGAUUAGCAUUGUCCCUGUGCAAGGAUGACAUGCAAAUUCAUGAAACAUUCCAUAAUUUU